rnacentral:rRNA from 1 species
CUACGGGACGCUCCAGUGAGGAAUAUUGCACAAUGGGGGGAACCCUGAUGCAGCAACGCCGCGUGGAGGAUGACGCAUUUCGGUGUGUAAACUCCUUUUAUAUGUCAAGAAAAUGACGGUAGCAUAUGAAUAAGCACCGGCUAACUCCGUGCCAGCAGCCGCGGUAAUACGGAGGGUGCAAGCGUUACUCGGAAUCACUGGACGUAAAGGACGCGUAGGCGGGUUGGAAAGUCAGGUGUGAAAUCCUACAGCUUAACUGUAGAACUGCACUUGAAACUUCUAAUCUAGAGUAUGGGAGGGGGAGAUGGAAUUAGUGGUGUAGGGGUAAAAUCCGUAGAUAUCACUAGGAAUACCUGAAGCGAAGGCGAUCUCCUGGAACAUUACUGACGCUAAGGCGUGAAAGCGUGGGGAGCAAACAGGAUUAGAUACCCCGGUAGUC